GAAAAGGCAAAACCACAGCAAUGUGGUGACGCAAAACUACAGGGUCUUAAUGAGAUAGCCAGUUGCCG
rnacentral:ncRNA from 1 species